rnacentral:rRNA from 1 species
GGCGAACGGGUGAGUAGCACGUGAGUAACCUGCCCUUGACUUUGGGAUAACUUCAGGAAACUGGGGCUAAUACCGGAUAGGAGCUCCUGCUGCAUGGUGGGGGUUGGAAAGUUUCGGCGGUUGGGGAUGGACUCGCGGCUUAUCAGCUUGUUGGUGGGGUGGUGGCUUACCAAGGCUUUGACGGGUAGCCGGCCUGAGAGGGUGACCGGCCACAUUGGGACUGAGAUACGGCCCAG